CGUGGUCUCCUUCCUCCAUCCUGCUACUCACGUCCUUUCCCCCGCUCCUGCUCCCAUCCCAAGACUGAGGUCAAUCACAUCAGCAUCCCUCCCUCCAGACACUCCAGAAGACAGCUGGCCUUGUCAGCCUUCUAAUGGACUGACCCCUCACCCCUUGAUCUAUCUCCACUUCUGUUUACCUUCACUGGGAGGCUUUCUCGCCACCUGGGAUCAAAAAUUGCCAUUUCCCUGACCUCACUUGUCAAACGAUUCUCCCAGUCUGGUGACUCCCUUUACCAAAUGGCAGCAGAAACAAAACAUAGGUCCCUCUGAAGGGACCGCUUCUGACCCUGGCCACGCUCAGCAGCUUCUGAAGUUAAGCAUGACAACUGUUUCUCAGCCUUGUCUCUGGAGAAUCUUGGAUCUGGAAGAAAUCUUACAAUAGCUGUGGAAAUCAAAUGAUUGGUAAGCCUGAACUGCCUUCUAUGGCCCAGAGUUGGAGAUGACUGCAAACUCCAUUCCUCAAACCAUCACCACCCAACCCACGUCUCCACCCCUGCUAGAAAGAAGUCAGCGCCUCAGAAAAGGUAAAUGGUGGCAGAAAGACCCUCUGGCAGGAUCAUGGGCAAAGUGACAGCCCCUCCCAAUUCGCUGGCUUCACUCCAGAAUGACUCACUAUUCCAACUUCAGGCACUUUCUCUUUCUUU
rnacentral:lncRNA from 10 species